CUUGGCAACAUGGUAAAGGCAGAAUUGUAACCUUCUCGUGACCAUUUUGUUUAUUUUUGUUUUAGUGUUUCUGCCUUGUAUGUGUUUAUUCUGCAUUUCCUUUCAGUACUGUCAUAUUACAGUCUAAAUCACGUCAUAGAAAGGGCAACUCAAUAUUACAGAUACACAAAAAUUAAGAUUUUCCUCAGAUAACUGAAUUCUGUAAAAAU
rnacentral:lncRNA from 1 species